rnacentral:rRNA from 1 species
GAGUGAAAUCCGUUGAUAUCGUGCGGAACACCAAAGGCGAAGGCAGCUCACUGGUGCGACCCKGACGCUGAGGGAUGAAAGCGUGGGGAGAGAAUGGGAUUAGAUACCCCAGUAUUCCACGCKGUAAACGAUGGAUACUAGCUGUGUGUAGUGUCGACCCUACGSGKGGSGAAGCUAUCGCGUUAAGUAUCCSGCCKGGSUAGUA